rnacentral:rRNA from 1 species
GACGAACGCUGGCGGCGUGCUUAACACAUGCAAGUCGAACGGAAAGGCCCUGCUUUUGUGGGGUGCUCGAGUGGCGAACGGGUGAGUAACACGUGAGUAACCUGCCCUUGACUUUGGGAUAACUUCAGGAAACUGGGGCUAAUACCGGAUAGGAGCUCCUGCUGCAUGGUGGGGGUUGGAAAGUUUCGGCGGUUGGGGAUGGACUCGCGGCUUAUCAGCUUGUUGGUGGGGUAGUGGCUUACCAAGGCUUUGACGGGUAGCCGGCCUGAGAGGGUGACCGGCCACAUUGGGACUGAGAUACGGCCCAGACUCCUACGGGAGGCAGCAGUGGGGAAUAUUGCACAAUGGGCGGAAGCCUGAUGCAGCAACGCCGCGUGCGGGAUGACGGCCUUCGGGUUGUAAACCGCUUUCGCCUCUGACGAAGCGUGAGUGACGGUAAUGGGUAAAGAAGCACCGGCUAACUACGUG